CAGGGUUUAAAAUUCUAUCAUUAAUAGAACUGCAGAGCAAAUGGAGAUUGUGAGUUUGAUGUCUCCCUGAAUCCUUUCCCACAUAUUUUCCCUGCAGUGUGAAAGUGGGCUCUCCUGAAACUGUGAAAGUAUUGACCUUUGUCGCCAGAGACAAAUUCAGAUCACCGCAGUUGCCUUUGGGAGCUCUUCUUAAUCUUGGAGGAUCUAGAAAGACUUUAUACUUUUCUGGUUCUUGUCUUAGCUGCAGUUUUGGUGACACAUGUGGAGGAAAGGCCAGGAAAUGUACAUCCCCCGUCAUGGGUGUGGGAUCAGGAGUCUAAGCAGGAGGCACUGUCAAAGUACUCAUCAAGCUUGACUUUAAAACAGAAAGACAGGGCUUUCUUUGGCUGGUUUGUAAAGAUCUUUUUAGCCUUUCUAACCUGCAGUUGUGUUAAGAAAAUGGGGAAGGAAGGAAAGAAGGAAGAAUUUCAAAAUGCGCUUAUCAUAAGACACUUGAGACUUGAGGCUGGAGCAUAUUUGGGCUGGUCACUGCUGGCCAAGGUGACUUGGGCUCCACAGUUGCCUCACAGUGAGGUGAUCACCUACAGACGUCUGUAGGGCUUCUUUGCCAUUCUAGGGAGCUCACGCUUAACUCCAGCGAGCAUCAAGACGAUCCCAAAGACUUAUUGAUGUGUUGGGAGUUGUUUUGAUAUUUUUUCUCUUUCUAGCAUCUUCUAAGAGCCAACCGCUUUUUGACAAUGACUAUUAGAUCGUAUUGUAAGAUCUAUUAUUAAUUUUAGAGGUGGCCCUCAUUCUACCCCCAGAGCAGUCACCUUGAAAAUCUGUGAAUCUGUGGCAUAAGUAACAUUAUGUGCAUAAGAAUUUACAUUAAAGUAAAUUCUACCAAAAAAAAAGUCAUUUUUAAAAUGUAUUAUUACCCGAAGACAUAUAACUAGUAAAUUGCUCUUUUCCUAAGAAUUCUGAUUUUUCUUAGGCUGAUUUAUCUAGGGAUUCAAAAUAUGGAUGCCAUUGCAAGAAUGGUAAGUGGAAGACCAUUCCUCUCCACAGCUAAUGUUCAGGUUUUAUGGUAAUGGAGCUUUUAGCAUCUUGGAAUUUUCUUACUUACAGCUAUGACUUUAUGUAUAGAGCAUUCAUUUUCCACCUGCAGGUAGAGUUAUUUGUCUGAAUUGUUGCCCUGUUGAAAUUUCCCAAUACUUUUGAAGGGACCUAGACCAUGAAAACACAGGUUGUCUGUCCCCCAUAAAGAGGCAGAUAUGGAUAUCCUGAGGAGCAAGAUUGCAAAGUAGGAGUUACACUUUGCUACCUAAAUGACCAAAUUCAAGAUAAUCAGAGACAAUUUAUUUUUGAGAUCACCUCAUAAGCUGAUCAGUACAUCAGACUGUUCAAUGACAUAGAACCACGACCGUGAAGUUUGUCUUGGGAGAACCAGAACGUUCCCCAUGAACAUCUAGAACUAAGCCCUUGGUGUGGAGCUGGGCAUUCCCAGCCUGCAGUCCCUUCUCUGGCUGAGCCCAGUGUGUCCUGCAAGGACCAGGGUCCUGCCAACCAGGCCCUGCAGGUGUCCUGGCCUCAGAGGGAAAGAGCCACUGCUGUAGUGGCUUCAAGGAGCAUGUUGAAGCAUAGUGACAUGUUUCUACUAAACAGUGUUCCCCUUUCUUUUAAACCUUUACAAGAUUAUCUAGCUCCGCUGGAAGAGUGUAUGUUGCUGACAGAAAUAAAGUGGGAUGUAUUGAAGAAAAAUUUUCCCACUUAGCACGUUACCUAAAGUUUGAAAGCAGAUUCUGUGUAAUCCAUAUAAUCAUAGAAGAGGGGCCUGAGAGAUGUGUACAAUACAUAGUUCUUUGGGUUACUGUGCUUCUCAAUAUUUAUGUCCCACCAAAGGCACCUAUUCGAAAUGCGAGCUUACUAGCUUUCGCGCUCUUUGCGUGGGAAUAAAAUCUGUUGAUGAUUUUUUUUUUAAUUUAAAUGUGUUAAUCUACAUUGAUUUCUAAAUUUGUCAUGGAUAUCUUAGCUGAGAAAUACAGUUCAUCACUGACUGUUCUGUUACCUGACAGCCACUGAUAAAGCAUCCAGGCACCGAGUGCCAGAAAAGGUUAAUAUUUAUUGAUUUUUAUGGUGCUGCGACCCAUGUAGUUUUGCCAUCAAAGAUGUAUGGCCACCAGCACUGGGAUCUGUAAAAUUGUGAAAUGCACACAGAUUUUGUUGUGACCUAUGCCAGUAUUCAAGAUUUAAAAAAUGACAGAUAUUUAACAAAAAGCUGGAAUGUGUAACUACUUUGAACCUGUGACUUGAAUUUAAUAUUUUAACAUGAAAUACAUGAGCACUUAAAAACUAAAAAUGAAUCCUUGCUUUGCAAACAGCAAUCACAUUUAGCCUUUUCUUCAACUUAACUAUAUGCUAUUGAUCCGAGAAGAUGCCCGAGCAAGUGAUAGCUGAAAUUAUGAGCAAUAAAGGGCUUGCUUCUUUAACAAAAAGUGUAUAAUUAGCUGAGAAGAGGGGAAAGCCUAUGUUUAGUUUUACAGGAGUUUCAAAGAAACAGUUUGAGUGCCACACCAGUGUUCACAUGUAGCCAGGGGACAAGAAACUCGUGGGCAGAGAGGAGGAGGCUGGCGUUUCUUUUGGUCUCCAUCUGUGUUUCCCUGAAGAGAGGCAGCCCUUGGCUAACCUGUGGUAGCAGUGCUGACCUCUUUCUAGUCUUCUGCUCCCUUGAAUCUACUUAAAACUUGUGUUACUUAGUUGACUCUUUACGGCUUCCUGUAUUUAACGGGCAAUGUAGGACAACUUAUGAAUUACCUUGAGAGCCAGAACACACACUGGCCUUUCAGAUCCUAGACUUGAAGUGUGAAUUGAAACUAGAACUCCACACCUAUAUUUGAGAUUUUUCUUUUUUUUCUUUUCUUUUCCCUUUUUUUUUUUUUUUUUUUUUUUGAGCAUUUAUUUCUACAAAAGGUUUAAGGGAAGUUCUAAUGCUAAAAAUGUAAAUCUACUUUGACCAACUGAAUAAAUUGCAGUGUGACCUGCAGAUGUGUUUUUAGCUCUCUCACCAACUUUGUCCUGGUUUUUGUUUUUUUCUUCUAUCGCAAACAGCUUGCCUAUUUUAUUGUGCUUAUUUAGAGAAAAGAGUUUUGUUUCUUGAAAGGGAUGCGUAUGUUGCCUAGAAAACCACUCUUAUAGCUUGAAUAACACUUGAAUAUGUGUGAGCCUAAAUUCUAAAAUUGAAAAAAUUAAAAAAAAAAGGCUAGAGAAAAUUUCUGAAUCAUGUUCUGAAAGCUGUUGACAGUAUGAAAUAUUUUCCAUAAAGACUUCAUUUCCCCUUCAUUUUAUUAGUGUUUAUAAUAUUGUUAAAAUUUUCUUCGUAAAUACUACUGUCAGAUGAAUCUGAUUCUUGAUAUAGUUUCAACUUCUUGAUUUUUUGAUGAUUCUGUCAUUAACCUAAUUUUCUUUUUCUUCCUUUUGUUGCCAAGUGGGCAAGGGCUCCUACGAAUAACAUAGCAUAAAUUAAAAAGCUUUUCUUAACGUUGCUUUGUUCCACUGUUGUUUUUCUUUGGGAGCAGCCUGGGUUUUGUAGUCUGCCAGCUUCAGAGCUGCCCCACUGGCUCUUUGCUGCCAACCUCAAACCUGCGGGUGACGACUAGGCGACAGGCUCCUCCAGCACCCCUUCACGUCUAAAAUUAAACAUGCCUGUCAGUGGUCAGUGGCCAUUCAGGGUGCCCACGACACCCUCACCUCCAAAUCAGUCACUACCUAAAAUACUGGCUGUGUGAAGAUGAUGAUGAGAUUAGUAACUGAUCAUAUAUUUAAGCUGCGUUUCCAAGAACACAAUAGAAAAACAAUGAAACGCUUAACACAAGAAACAUUUUAUGUAACAAACAAAAAUGGAAGGAGAAAAAAGAGCCAUUUCAAACCAUUUAUUCCAAAUUAGAGAAUCAUUUUAAGUUUUGUGAAUAACAGUGUGACCGAAUAUGGAAUUUUUAAAAUUGCACAAAGCCAGGUUUACUAUUAGAAUCAGGGAGAUUGUGCAAUUCUAACAACUGUGGAAUUUGUUCUCUGCUCCACCCCCAGGAAAAAAUAAACAAAUCCUUUGAAUCAUUCUUUUUGCAGGCAUGCUUUAUUUGAUUUUUUUGUAAUCAAAUUCACCCAUUUAAAACAUGUACUUUAUUUUGUGAAUUGUCACAAAAUGUGAGCCAUUAGAGAGAAAAUAUUUUAACUCCAUUUAAAAUUGUUUUAUUUAGUUAUUUUUUUGUAUAUUUUAUUUCUAAAUUAAGCAUAUAUUCUAAUAGUUAUAUUUGGAAAACAUUAAUGCAUAUUUUAUAACAAUUUGUAUGCUCAUUUGCUUUUGCUUUUUGGAUUGAAGCUAAAAACUGAGAAUGAUUUUGGUGAUUUGUUUUGCAUUAGAGAGGCAUUAAAAAUUAAAUACAAGAAACUGUUUAAGCAUAAUUGUGGCAGAUACAAAACAUUAUUUUUAGAAGUAAAAAUAACAAUAACAACAACAUAUUCUGUGGAACAUGACUGAAAUAAUGUGACAGUUUUUAAGCUUCGUCUUUGAACAACUAAUCUAUGUUGCUGUCUUUGAGAAACUAUUUAAGUACAGUUAUUUCUCUUCAGAAAAAGCUUUUCCAACAAGACUCCUUUAUAUCUUUUGCUUAUUUUUUUUCCUAGUGAAUUGUAUUACCUUAUUUUAGCUGAAGUUAUUACUGGUUUCAUGUGACCUGGGAAAAUUAAAAAUAUUAAGUAAGAAGGCCCAAGUUCCCAAUGUUUUCAAUGCCAGCUUCAGCUGAGCUGUUUCUUAAUUGCAGCCCAUUGGGGAAUUUCAGAGUAUCAUUUUGGUAGUGCUGGACUUGGCAAAGUACAUAAAGCACUUCGGUGAGGUAUGAUGUGAAAUGGCGUUGUUUAAAUUAAAAAAUAAAUCUCAGAGAUUUGGCUCGGCAACUGCCACCUGGGGAGGAGAAGGCGUCCCCCUGGCACCUAGGGCUGGCAUCUGGGUGGUGGUGCUAGGACCCAGGGAGGUGGUGCAGACAGACGGGGUGCAGGACCGCGUGUGGGGGCCGGUACCUUCAUCCACUGAGACCCUUUUACACAAGAACACAGAGAAAGUCUGUAAAUUCACACCCACGAGCCUGAUUUGGUCUCUCAGGAGAUCAAACAGCGAGGGCACGAAGGGUAGAGCCCGGGCCUCUCCUCCUAGCAGCCAGUGGACCUGCAGCGCCAGCGGAAGUCUGAAUUCCCCACCAGCUUUCAUUGCUUUGACUGUUUAAGGGAGCAAAUGCUUUUCCUAAUCUUUUGUCCACUGAGGUUCUUUAAUGGGAGCUUUUGCUCAGUGACUGCUUUUUUCACUUCCCGUGCUGUGGGAGUUCCCAGUCCUCCUGCCAUUUAUUAUAACCUGCUGCUUGUUAAUACAGGGUGUCCACAGACAUUCGCUCACACUUAGUCUUCAUUACUCAGACUGCUCCAUUUAUUUAUAAAACAACACGUGCCAGAUUGCUAGCUUGUAGCUGACUUUCCCCUGUUCUCUCCUUUCUUACGCAAAGCUUUGUAUCCAUAGGCAUCACUCUUGAAGUUUGAAUUUAUCAGAAUUACUAGCCUAGUUCUGAAUUCUCACAUAGUACACCUUGAAUUCCCAACAAUAUCAAAUUAAUUCAUCCCUUUAACAUGUCAUUCUGCUGUAUUUUAUUUGUAUAAAUUAUGUUUUUAAAAUAUAUAACUCACAUCACAUCUAUAUAUUAUCGAUUCUAAAGAAAUAGCAAGUUCACCUUUGAGGAGCAAGGGAAGACAAAAUGUUAAAGAGAAUAUGUUGGGGAUGAGGGUUCAAAUAAACCCAUCAGCACCUUGAAAUCUCUGUGCAUCUUAGACUUGUGUAAGAAGGCCAGGUAGAAACACAGGUUACUUUAUUUAGAAAUCAGAGAAAACAAUAGUUAGACCUAAAAUUUCAAAUCAGAGUUAAUACAUUCCAAAAAUUAAAUCAAAAAUGAAGAAAUGCUAUAUGACUCUUAAGGUGUUUUCUGUAAAGGUUUCAUUUCAGCAUGCAAAUUAGGAAGCACGCCAGCCAGCCUGUGAAAAGAAAGGGCAAUCAAAAGAUUGGAGAGCAACUGUAGAGGAAUUAAAUAAGUCUGCAGUUGCCAUUGUGUUGAUUUAUAGAACAGAUGGGACAGAAGUAGGAGAAAACUAGAAACAGAAUUAUGUGGCUCGUAACAGAGCAAGAAAACUUGAAAUAGUACAUAAGGAACCAUUUAUGAUAUUUGUAGCAGAUAUGUUUCUCUCAGGCAACCCCACAUUAGAAAUCAAAUGCUCAUAACAAAGCGCUAGCCCCUUGUAAAAAUCAAGGGCAAAUUUACAAAAAUGAAAAGCCCUAUUGAGCCAGGAGCUGGUGGGUGUGAAGUCUAGUCCUGCUGCUUGUGGUCACUGUCUGUGGAGCCACUAAACCCCUCUCUGCUUUCACGCCCUUAAAUGUAAAAUACAGAAUGAUGUUUUAAUAGAUGAAUUUUCUGGUAUGUAAUUCUGUGAAAUUAUAAAUAAUACUAGAUUACAACCCUAUUCUGGUCGUUUCUUUUGUAAUUUCAAUUUAAAUGAAAUGUGACUUUGUAAGGAAAGCAAAAUCUCAGAAUACUGGUACUUUUCUGAGAGUUUACAUACAAUUUUCAGGGACUCGAGACCACUGGGAGGUUGGAUUCAUGGACUCCCAGGUCAGGGAGACUAGAUGGAGACAUGAACAAAGUCUGACCCUCAACAAACAGUGAUGUUCACCAGUGUUGAUACAACAGCAUGACUCUGCCAAAUCUCCAUAAGCAUCUCUGUGAUCUGUGAGGCUCACACCAGGCACAUGCGGAGAGUACAACCCCCAUGGGGCAGGGGUGCUCAGUCUGUCUGCUGUGACCUCUCCCCUCUAGAGGUCAGUUCAGAGAAUAAAAAUCAACAAAAAUCAGUUGUUGGUUUUUUUCACCAUCUACCAGUUAUGGUUAGACUGGUGGCUGCAAAAGACUAUUCCAGCUAAAAUUGGCUUCCCUGUAGCAGAACAGUUCUUGAGGCCAGUGGGAGGUGUAUGGUUGGAGCACCAGUUGGCCAGGCACUCUCCAGAAGUCAUUGGAUACCAUGCCACACAGCAGUGGGCAGCCCAGUGAGGGUGCCAGGAGCUCCCCUCAAAGCCCAGUGGUACUGAAGAAGCCUCGAGGAAUGACCAUCCUGUGACUGCACAGCUCCCCUUUCCAAACCCAGCCACGACUGGCUGCAGGCAUCCAUGUGUGACUGCCAGAAAACACUGACUGCGACAUCUUUGGUUCCUACCCACCAACCCUAAUGUUUACAUACUUUAAGGUAUUAAACAAUGAGGCAGUUAUUCACAAGAUGGGAAAAAAACAGCAACAACAACAAAAAAGCAGUGUAGUCUCAGGUACCUGUCAUACCCUCAGUGAAUAGUGGACAUUAUUUUCAUUAUUUUUGCUGCCAGAAAUAGGCCUUAUCCUAAAUUCUCACUUAUCAAGGUAUAAAAACCUGGGCUAGAGGUAGGUCUCAGAUAGAAGAAAAUAUCAAUUCAUUCAGGAUUGCUCUUGACCACGGAUAGAAAAUGUUCUGAGUCCCUUUAUAAAGUCAUUCUAGCAUUACAGGUAACCUCCACAUUAUGUUUGCUGUAGUCCUCAUCAAAAUUAU
rnacentral:lncRNA from 1 species